UUUGUAUUCUUUUUGUUUCGAAUUACUUGUCUUGGAUUUGUCUAGAUACGGAUGUAAGUCUAGAUACAUCCGUAUCUAGACAAAUCCAAGACAAGUAAUUUAGAACGGAGGGAGUAGGAC
rnacentral:pre_miRNA from 1 species